rnacentral:rRNA from 1 species
GACGAACGCUGGCGGCGUGCCUAAUACAUGCAAGUUGAGCGCUGAAGGUUGGUACUUGUACCAACUGGAUGAGCAGCGAACGGGUGAGUAACGCGUGGGGAAUCUGCCUUUGAGCGGGGGACAACAUUUGGAAACGAAUGCUAAUACCGCAUAAAAACUUUAAACACAAGUUUUAAGUUUGAAAGAUGCAAUUGCAUCACUCAAAGAUGAUCCCGCGUUGUAUUAGCUAGUUGGUGAGGUAAAGGCUCACCAAGGCGGUGAUACAUAGCCGACCUGAGAGGGUGAGCGGCCACAUUGAGACUGAGACACGGCCCAAACUCCUACAGGAGGCAGCAGUAGGGAAUCUUCGGCAAUGGGCGAAAGUCUGACCGAGCAACGCCGCGUGAGUGAAGAAGGUUUUCGGGUCGUAAAACUCUGUUGGUAGAGAAGAACGUUGGUGAGAGUGGAAAGCUCAUCAAGUGACGGUAACUACCCAGAAAGGGACGGCUAACUACGUG